AUUGAACGCUGGCGGCAUGCCUUACACAUGCAAGUCGAACGGCAGCACGGGAGCAAUCCUGGUGGCGAGUGGCGAACGGGUGAGUAAAGUAUCGGAACGUGCCCAGUCGUGGGGGAUAACGUAGCGAAAGUUACGCUAAUACCGCAUACGAUCUAUGGAUGAAAGCGGGGGAUCGCAAGACCUCGCGCGAUUGGAGCGGCCGAUAUCAGAUUAGGUAGUUGGUGGGGUAAAGGCUCACCAAGCCGACGAUCUGUAGCUGGUCUGAGAGGACGACCAGCCUAACUGGGAAUGAGCAACGGGCAAGACUCCUACGGGAGGCAGCGGUGGGGAAUUUUGGACAAUGGGCGAAAGCCUGAUCCAGCCAUGCCGCGUGCAGGAUGAAGGCCUUCGGGUUGUAAACUGCUUUUGUACGGAACGAAAAGGUUUGGCCUAAUAAGCUGAGCUCAUGACGGUACCGUAAGAAUAAGCACCGGCUAACUACGUGCCAGCAGCCGCCGUAA
rnacentral:rRNA from 1 species